rnacentral:rRNA from 1 species
CGCCUCUUGAACAACAAAUAUAAGAGGUCCCGCCUGCCCUGUGACUAUGUUUAACGGCCGCGGUAUUUUGACCGUGCAAAGGUAGCACAAUCACUUGUCUUUUAAAUAAAGACCCGUAUGAAUGGCACAACGAGGGCUUAACUGUCUCCUUUUCCUGGUCAAUGAAAUUGAUCUCCCCGUGAAGAAGCAGGGAUAAAAACAUAAGACGAGAAGACCCUGUGGAGCUUUAGAUGUACAGUCGACUUACGUCAAUAACCCUUAACUAAAAGACUCAAACCAAGUAAAACUCCACUGAAUAUCUUCGGUUGGGGCGACCGCGGGGUAAAAAAUAACCCCCGAGAGGAAUGGGUUAACCCUAUGACCAAGAACACCCGUUCUAAGCACCAAAACAUUUGGCCACUAGAUCCGGCAAGCCCGAUCAACGAACCAAGUUACCCCAGGGAUAACAGCGCAAUCCUCUUCAAGAGUCCCUAUCGACAAGAGGGUUUACGACCUCGAUGUUGGAUCAGGACAUCCUAAUGGUGCAGCAGCUAUUAAGGGUUCGUUUGUUCAACGAUUAAAGUCCU